rnacentral:lncRNA from 1 species
GGCUAUUUGCACAGUUACUGCAGAAGUGUUCACUUGCCUUUCCAGACACCAGCGGUAUGUGUGGAGGCGGCCUGGACGAACCCUGCAGAGGAGACAUCUACGACUUUUCUCCAUGCCGUGACCCCCUGCCGAGGAGCGUAAACGCACGAAAAUGAUAAACCAGGCUGUAGACCCUGCGAUUCCUAUAAAGGGGGCCCCAGACACUCUGACCCUGGCAGCCUGGGGC